rnacentral:rRNA from 1 species
AUUGAACGCUGGCGGCAGGCCUAACACAUGCAAGUCGGACGGUAGCACAGGGGAGCUUGCUCCUCGGGUGACGAGUGGCGGACGGGUGAGUAAUGUCUGGGGAUCUGCCCGAUAGAGGGGGAUAACCACUGGAAACGGUGGCUAAUACCGCAUAAUGUCGCAAGACCAAAGAGGGGGACCUUCGGGCCUCUCACUAUCGGAUGAACCCAGAUGGGAUUAGCUAGUAGGCGGGGUAACGGCCCACCUAGGCGACGAUCCCUAGCUGGUCUGAGAGGAUGACCGGCCCCACUGGAACUGGGACACGGUCCAGACUCCUACGGGAGGCAGCAGUGGGGAAUAUUGCACAAUGGGCGCAAGCCUGAUGCAGCCAUGCCGCGUGUAUGAAGAAGGCCUUCGGGUUGUAAAGUACUUUCAGCGGGGAGGAAGGCGAUGUGGUUAAUAACCGCGUCGAUUGACGUUACCCGCAGAAGAAGCACCGGCUAACUCCGUGCCAGCCGCCGCCGUAA